GUGAGGGUGGGGUGCUGUUCCAAGCACGGGAAACAGAGCACCAGGCAGUGGCCAUGGCCCUGGGGCCGGGGCUGGGAGGCGGUUGUUCCAGCAUGCAGUCACUGAGCCUUCCUGUAUGCACUGCUGCAGGUUCUGGGAGACCGUGAAGUGCAAAGCAGAUGGAGUCCAGGCCCUCGAGGAGACAGCACGCCAGUGAGGGAGACGGAGACCAAUCACCCACCCAGUGUGCGGGGAUGAGAAGCUCGGGAAGGUCUGACCAGCCUUACGUCUUGAGAGGGAAACCCCUGCCUCUGCGUGUCAGGUGUUACUCGGGGUGCGCCAGUGGAAGCAGGAGGCAGUCGCAGCUUUCAGAGAGGCAGCAGAGUGUAAUGACAGAGAACCAGCUAUGGAGCUGGCCUGAGUCGGCAUCUGGGCUCCACCUCACCAGCUGUGUGUGAAACCACUUUGUUCCUGUUUUCUUAUUUCCAUCAUCAACACAGAAGACUUCAGUGACCGAAUGUGUGGGGGUUCCUCCGGAAGGAAGCCUGGGAGACGAUUCCUCUGGCCAAGCAGACACCAGAAAAGUGCUCAUAGGCGCUGUGAAGGCCUCGAUGUCCCCUGGUGCCAAUGCAACAGAGAAGCCAGCAAAAUGCUCUGCAUGGGACAAGUUCUGGUUUUUGCUACAGAGACUGUAAGAGAUGCAAAGCCAGGACGGUGAGGGUGAGCUGGGGUGGGGGAGGCGCAGGGGGAUCCCCAGCAGGGGGAGGGCAUUUGAAGAUGGGGGCGGCUGCUCCUUGGAAGCUGGCAGGCAUGGCCACAGAAUACGUGCCCCUUUCCUGGUCCCCUCGAGGUCUGCAGAGCCCUGAGUGCUCAUGCCAUGAAAAUGAGUGUCUCUGAGUUUGGAGAGCUGGCCUCCACACCGGGCUUCCUGAGGACAGGAGCAGGAGCAGGAGGCUGAGGCCAGGGGGAUGGCAGCCCCCAGGGAUCUGAGGAAGCCUGGGAGCUGGCUUUGAACUUCUGCCCACGCUGGAACUUGGGGAGAAGAGGGAGAUGUGAGUCAGGUUUUCCUAGUUCCUGAGGGCCUGGGAGGCCUUGGCUGGCAUCCAGUUUACAUAGAGAGUGUCCCCACCUGACGGUUCUGAUCCAGAUUCUGGUACCCGAGUGAGCUAGGCCAUAGGAGCAGCUGGUGCCCUUGCUGUCCCUGAAGGCAGCAUGGGAGGCCCCCAGGACUGGGGCUAAGGCUUUCCAGAGAGAAGGAGGUGCCUUUCCCUGCCAACUUCCUAGCUUUAAGGCACGCUCCGGACAUCCAGAGUGAGCUCCUGCACCUGCCGGAACCCCUUGAGCUGCCUCUACCUUCCAGGAUGACCCAUUCCCAGUUUUCCCAAUUACCUUUCACAUUUCCUCUUUGGAAAUGGAAUUUGGUUUUGAGGUUGAGCAGGUGGCUAGAGACAUAGAACAUAAAUAUAUCAUGACUUGGGAGUUGACUUGCUUAUCAUGGAAAUAAAUGUCCUCCCUCCUCAAGAAGGAGUCGCUUGGCCAGGUCACUUCGAUCUUGCCCUGUGGUGAAAUCAGACGGCCCCUGGCUCGUGGGCGCUGGAACCAGGGGGGAGUUUCAGGGUGAGUCAUGAAUGCUGGGGGGGCAGGGGUGAAUGGGCUGUACUGUCAGCUUUGUUUUCCUGUCGGGCGAGAGAGAGAGAAAGGAGGGGGAUAAGAGAGAAUGAUGCCAAGGAGGCGCCUGGGCAGCUGAUGAGCUCAGCCCCAGGGUGACUGCGGUCAUUUGGGUCAGCAAUGGGGACAGAUACCAGCCCCAGCUGGGUCAUGGGUCAUUUAUGGCCUGGGUCUCCCCCUCUCCUCCCUCCUCCUUCUCUCCAACCUGCUUUCUUGCUGCUGGAAGCGGGUGUGCAGGCUCCCGUGUGCCUGGCACAGCAGAGGCAGCACAGGAGACUCCAUGGGGCCUGUGUCCUGCACCCCCACGCCCCCACCCCCAGCCACAGCCCUUUGAGAGCACAGCAGAAUGAACGCCUGAUUAGGAAUCAGAUGCCAGAAAGAAGCCGUGUCUGUUCCAAAAUCAAGAGACCAGGAGAGGUGGCGUCCUUUAAAAGGAGAGAGCUAAGUGACAGAGAGGGGGCUUGUCCCCAGCCCAGGCACCUCAGGGCUGCAAGCCCCUUUGAGAUGCGGGGCUCAGGCCUCACCAGGGGAAAUGUGGGCAUCUAGGUGACCCUCCACACUGAGCAGACCCAGCACAGGCUGUGCCACUCGUUAUAGGCUGCGGGGCCUGCACAGACCCCAGGCAGCGAGCCUGCGAUGGGGCAGGGUGUGGUGUGGAGGCCAAGCCCCUCCUCUGCUGGUUGGCAGCUUGGCCCAGCCUCCUCACUUGUGAACAGUCAGCUCUGCCCCUGGGCUGUCAGGAGGAUUAAAUGAGAUAAGACAUAAACACAGAGCAACUCCUUGCUAAGAGCCAUGCUGUACCAAGCAAGGCACAGCAAAGGGAAAGAGAAAUCCAGCGGCACCAGUGGGCUGAGAAGCCGUCAGGUUUGGCUGCUGCUGUUGUCUGUGUCUCCCGCCUUCCUCCUGAGCUGUGCUUCCAGGGAAGCCCUGGCCCUUCGUGCCAGCCGGUGACAUUUCUGCAAUUAUUCCUAAAGAGGGGCCUGUGGGUCGAGUGAGCUAAGCAGGGCUGGGCAAGGUGGUGUCCACCGGUCAGUGCCAGAGUCUCCCUAAUGUGGCCUGUAAGACGGAGCUGGUGUUGAACAAAGGAACAGGGUGAUCUGGGAGCAGCAGCAGCCGCUGUCCUGAGCAUCUGGGUCAGGACGACACGGAUGCCACCCCAGGACCCCUGGCAUAGGGAGCCGAGCAGGGCAGCCGGGCAGAGGCAGGAACGAAUUCUGCUCAGCUGCAGAAUAGUCACAGACACCCCCCCACCAGCAACGUCCCUGGAGCAGUCUUUCUUAUUAAAAAAUAUUGAGUGUCAGUUAUGUGUCAGGCACUGUUCUGGACACGAGGUCUUAGGAACAAACAAAAUAUACAGAAACUUGGCCCUUGUGUUGCUCAGGAUGAAGAGGAGAAGACAGGAGCUGUGAGGUGUCCCCACCUGUCCAGAGGCUGGGAAAAGAUGGUGCUGCUUGUUUAGAAAACCAGGCAGAGGAGCCCUGCUAGUCCAGGCCGGGCCAACGCCCGAGGAUGAGGGGAAGCACAGCUCCUUUGGGGUCUGCGUGCAUUUGAGCAUGAGUGCGUUAACGGGGAAUGUGUGUGUUAACAGGGCAUGCGUUUGGGAGCCAGACAGACCUGGGCUGAGUCCUGCCCUAUUUGCUAACUAGCCUGCUGUGUCGCCUUGCGUGGAUGAAAUUUCUCUGCUCUAAGUCAUGGGUGCUGAGGCCUGCCUGUCUGGCAAGGGUCUGGGGGAGGUCGGACGAGAUGAAGGAGGCCGGGGCUAGCACCAUGGUGGUCCCUGGGCUGUGCCUGUUUCCCUCCCACUUCCGCUGCCUCCAUCUGACCCUGCUCUGGAGGGACCGGGGGAGGGGCGGACGGCGGACACUGCUUCUGCAGCGCUCCUUGUCUCCGUCAGUGAUUUAUAGGAAGCCCGCUCAACCGAGAGCUAAGGGAAGAUGGUGAAGGCCCUUUUGUUUUUAGUUCAAUUUUGUGAGCAGAAUGCUCCUGGGGCCAAUAGAUUUUUCCAGUAAUGAAAUUGUAAAAAUAAUUGAAUUAUGCCUUUCCAGCUUCAAAGACAACCUGUGCCCUUUCCCCAGCCCUCCGCGUGGCAUUAGAGAACAUUCGCCUCCUGCUGGGUCGGCCCCUUCCCCUCUUCCUUCUGUCUGUCGGUGCAGCCUCUGAAUAGACUCCUGGCGUAGGGAGGGGCGGGGUGUGCUGUUGCUGCACCCAGGACUGCCUGCAUCAGUUGCAAAAUGCGAUGUGGGGCCCUUUGUUGAAAAACAAUGAAGCAUUUCAAGAUGGUGGCAGCAGAGCUUGAAACCGAGCUCAGGGCCCACCUGAGCAGGGCCCCGGUGUGGCCACACAGAUCCCACACCCGUGAUGCCAGUCCCCUGAGUCCCGGGGAACAGUGGCAAAUCAGCACUCAGGAAAUAUCUGUUGAAUGGAAAAUCCGGUUUCCUUCGCCUUCUUCCUUGUCUGUCCUCUCCUGCCGCCUCCAUUCAACUUUCUUCCUUCUUCUCACAGCACUCGACAGUGUAGACUCUGACUGCCUGGGUUCAAAUGAGCUCACCAUUUCCUAGUUGUAAGCCCUUCGGCAAGUGACUUAAACGCUCUGUGCUAAGAUUUCCGCAUCUGCAAAAUGGGGAGAUAAAGAGCUCCUACCUCCUAGGAUCGUCAUGAGAAUGAGGUGUGCGAAGCUUGGCUGGCUUGGGUUCCAUAGCAGGCACUCAGGGGUGUUGGCCACGAAGAUUAUUCUUUCUCUUCUCUCUUUUCCAUCUUAUUUCAUCUCUCUCCGUUAUUUGGUUCCCCUGUCCUUAGUCCCCUUUCUCCCCCAGUGGCAUCCCAAGAUGCACAAUAGUGGCAAGUGCCCAGCCUGUUUCUGCAGCCUGAUCCCCACCACUGGUUGGCCAGUCGCCCAAGGAGCAGCUGGAUCCGUCAUCUGGCUCUAGGGAUGACCCAGUUCCAGCAUCCCCGCAAGCCCCCGUCUAUCCCCCUACCUCCCUCAGCAGAGGCCCAGCCCAAUGCAGGCCCGUGGCUGGAUGGGAGUAGCUCUUCCCACUGACCCUGGGAAGGGCUCUGCGGGGCUUGGGAGCCUCACCUGGAAUCGGCCCUCAAGCCUCAGUAGAGAAGGAGAGCGAGUAGAGAGGUGAUGGGGCUCCCUGGGCACCCCCAAUGCACAGUCUCCUUCUGGGGCUUCUGAUGGCCACACAGCCGGAAGACCUGCCCAGAAGAAUUCAGUAUAACCCAGUUCAGUGAACUUGGAGAGAACAAGGGCCUGUGCCGGCCGGGCAGAAGGCAGGGUUCCUGCCCUCUGGAGCCCUUGGCCUGGCGCGGGCUGAUUAGGACCUAGAUCUGCUUGGGUGGCUGGGUGGCCAAGUGGUGAUUGGGCUGGUUCUGUGCAGGGUGUGCUCCGUGGGGGGCGUGAUCUGGCAAAGCAUUGGAGGUGGGACUGUGGAGGCACCAUUGACUGAACUGUGUCCCCUGCAAUUCACAUGUUGAGGCCCAAACCCCCAGUGUGGCUGCAUUUGGAGUAGGGCAGUAAUUAUGGUUAAAUGAGGUCGUACGGGCGGGUGCUGAUCCACUAGGAUUAGGAUCCUUAUAAGUUAAACCUGCCACCUUCUCUCUGCCACAUGAGGACAUGGGGAGGAGGUGGCCGUCUCCCACCCAGGAGGAGGCCUUACUGGACACUGGGCCCUGGCUGCACCUUGACCUUGGACUUCUGGUCCCCAGAACUGUGAGAAGUAGAUUUCUGCUGAUUACGCUGCCCAUCUGCGGCCUGAGCUAAGACAGCGGCGCUUGGGGAGAAGCAGAAUUUGAGGAGCUCCUCAGUGGCAGCUGCCCUGGCCCUGAUGUCAACAGAGGGGAACGGCCAUCCACUGCUGGCCCCUCACCAGCUGGGCCUUCAGUGAGCUCCCUGGGCAGGUGAGGCUCUCCCAGCUCUGUGUCCCCCGUGAAACAGGCCCACAAUUGAGCGCCUGUGGAGUGGAGUGAGGAAGAAACACUCCCCGAGGGGUCACUCUCUUCAGAAGACCUCAAUGACUGUAGACUACUGAUUUUUUUCCUUAAAAAAAAAAAAAAAAGGCUACGUAUGGUGGCUCAUGCCUAUAAUCCCAGCACUUUGGGAGGACAAAGGACCACCUGAAGCCAGGAGUUCCAGACUAGCCUGGGCAACACAGCAAGACCCCAUCUCUACAAAAAAUUUAAAACUUAGCCAGGCAUGGUGGCACAUGCCUGUAGUUUCAGGUAUUUGGGAGGCUGAGGCAGGAGGAUCACUUGAGCCCAGGAGCUAGAUAGAGGCUGCAGUGAGCUAUGAUUGCACCACUGCUUUCCAGCCUGGGUGACAGAGUGAGACUCAAAAAUGAUUAAAAAAAAAAAAAGAAAAAAUGUUGAUAGCUGCUAUAAAGUUUCUCUUAUGCAGUACCUCCUCAUUUUACAGGAAAUUUGGAGAUAGGGAAGAUAGAAAGAAGAGGAAAAGAUGCCUAAAUAUACCCAGAAAGGCCUUGCUAACACGCUGCUGUAGUCCUUCUAUUCCUUAAUCUAGGCAUGUGGGCUUUUUUCUUAUUUAAAAAUGUUGAUUUAGAUAUAAUUAUAUGCAGAAAAGUGCACAAAUCUGAAGUCUGUAGUUUGAUAAGUUUUAGACAUGUGCAUACUCUGCACCCACCACCUCUGUUAGGAUAUAGAGCAUGGCCAGUGCCCAGAGGGCACCACAGGCCCUGCCCAGCUGCACUCACACUCUCUUCAGUAACCCCUCAUUCUGACUCUAUUGCCAUAGAAUAGUUUGGUCUUUCUUAAACCUCAUAUAAACGAACCGUGUUGUAUGUGGUCUUUGUGUCUCACUGUUUUUUCCCCUAUUUUAAAAAUUGUGUUAAAACACACAAACUUUAUCAUCUUGACCAUUUUUAAGUGUACAGUUCAACGUUAUUAAAUACAUUCAUAAUGUUGUAUAACCAUCACCGCCAUCCAUCUCUAGAACUCUUCUCAUCUUAGAAAACUAAACUCUAUACUCACUAAACACUAACUCUCUAUUCCCUCCUCCCCACAGCCCCUGGUAACCACCAUCCUACCUUCUGUUCAUAUGAAUUUGAAAAAAUUUUUAUUUUAGUUUUUGAGAUAGAGUCUCGCUAUGUUCCCCAGGUGGGAGUGCAGUGGCACGAUCUUGGCUUACUGCAACCUCCGCCUCCCAGGUUCAAGCAAUUCUCCUCCCUCAGCCCUCUGAGUAGCUGGGAUUACAGGCAUACACCACCACGUUCAGCUAAUUUUUUUUUUUUUUUUUUUUAGUAGAGACAGGUUUUCACCAUGUUGACCAGGCUGGUCUCAAACACCUGACCUCAGGUGAUCCACCUGCCUCAGUCUCCCAAAGUGCUGGGAUUACAGGCAUGAGCCAUUGCGCCCGGCUGUGUUCCUAUGAUUUUGACCAUUCUAGGUACCUCCUAUGGAUGGAUUCAUAUAGUACUUGCCUUUUUGUGUCUAGCUUAUUUCACUUAGCAUAAUGUCUUCAGAGUUCAUCCAUAUCUGUAGCAUGUCUGAAUUUCUUUCCUUUUCUUAGGCUGAAUAAUAUUUCAUUAUGGAUAUCAUGGCAUGUUGCUCAUCCAUUCAUUAGUCAAUGGACACUGGGUAGCAUCCGCCCAAGUUUUAGACAUUGGGAAUAAUGCUGCUGUGAACAUGUGUGCACAAAAUAUCUCUUCAAAACCCUGUUUUCAGUUCUUUUGGGCAUAUACCCAGAAGUGGAAUUCCUGAUCAUAUGGUAAUUCUACUUCUAAUUUUUUUUUUUUUUAGACGGAGUUUUGCUCUUGUUGCCCAGGCUAGAGUGCAAUGGCGCAAUCUUGACUCACUGCAACCUCCGCCUCCUGGGUUCAAGCGAUUCUCCUGCCUCAGCCUCCCAAGUCGCUGGGAUUACAGACGUACGCCACCAUGCCCGGCUAAUUUUGUAUUUUUAGUAGAGACGGGGUUUCUCCAUGUUGGUCAGGCUGGUCUCGAACUCCCAACCUCAAGUGAUCCGCCUGCCUCAGCCUCCCAAAGUGCUGGGAUUACAGGCAUGAGCCACUGUCUACUUCUAAUUUUUUAAAGGAACCACAUACUGUUUUCUACAGUGGCUGCAUCAUUUUACAUUUUGUAUUGGUGUCUUUUGCUUAAUAUUGGUCAGGGAAAUUCAUCAAUGUGAACAGCACAAGUUUGUUUAUAAUUGCUGUGUUAAGGAUUCCAUUGUAUGAACAAAACACAAUCUAUUAAUUCCCCUAUUAAUGGACAUUUGGAUUGUUGCCCACUGUGGCUAUUAUGAAUAAAGCUGUCAUUAACCA